GCGGAAGGAUCAUUACAGAGUUCAUGCCCGAAAGGGUAGACCUCCCACCCUUGUGUAUUAUUACUUUGUUGCUUUGGCGAGCUGCCUUCGGGCCUUGUAUGCUCGCCAGAGAAUACCAAAACUCUUUUUAUUAAUGUCGUCUGAGUACUAUAUAAUAGUUAAAACUUUCAACAACGGAUCUCUUGGUUCUGGCA
rnacentral:misc_RNA from 1 species